rnacentral:rRNA from 1 species
UGAGUAACACGUGAGCAACCUGCCCCUGACUCUGGGAUAAGCGCUGGAAACGGCGUCUAAUACUGGAUAUGUGACGUGAUCGCAUGGUCUGCGUCUGGAAAGAAUUUCGGUUGGGGAUGGGCUCGCGGCCUAUCAGCUUGUUGGUGAGGUAAUGGCUCACCAAGGCGUCGACGGGUAGCCGGCCUGAGAGGGUGACCGGCCACACUGGGACUGAGACACGGCCCAGACUCCUACGGGAGGCAGCAGUGGGGAAUAUUGCACAAUGGGCGCAAGCCUGAUGCAGCAACGCCGCGUGAGGGACGACGGCCUUCGGGUUGUAAACCUCUUUUAGCAGGGAAGAAGCGAAAGUGACGGUACCUGCAGAAAAAGCGCCGGCUAACUACGUGCCAGCAGCCGCGGUAAUACGUAGGGCGCAAGCGUUAUCCGGAAUUAUUGGGCGUAAAGAGCUCGUAGGCGGUUUGUCGCGUCUGCUGUGAAAUCCGGAGGCUCAACCUCCGGCCUGCAGUGGGUACGGGCAGACUAGAGUGCGGUAGGGGAGAUUGGAAUUCCUGGUGUAGCGGUGGAAUGCGCAGAUAUCAGGAGGAACACCGAUGGCGAAGGCAGAUCUCUGGGCCGUAACUGACGCUGAGGAGCGAAAGGGUGGGGAGCAAACAGGCUUAGAUACCCUGGUAGUCCACCCCGUAAACGUUGGGAACUAGUUGUGGGGUCCAUUCCACGGAUUCCGUGACGCAGCUAACGCAUUAAGUUCCCCGCCUGGGGAGUACGGCCGCAAGGCUAAAACUCAAAGGAAUUGACGGGGACCCGCACAAGCGGCGGAGCAUGCGGAUUAAUUCGAUGCAACGCGAAGAACCUUACCAAUGCUUGACAUAUACGAGAACGGGCCAGAAAUGGUCAACUCUUUGGACACUCGUAAACAGGUGGUGCAUGGUUGUCGUCAGCUCGUGUCGUGAGAUGUUGGGGU